AGAGUUUGAUCCUGGCUCAGGACGAACGCUGGCGGCGCGCUUAACACAUGCAAGUCGAGCGAGAACCAGGGCUUCGGCUCUGGGGACAGCGGCGAACGGGUGAGUAACAUGUGGGUAAUCCACCCUCGGCACCGGAAUAGCCCGGGGAAACCCGGAUUAAUGCCGGAUGGCCCGUCGACCCUUCGGGGCUGACGGAAAAGGUAGCUUCGGCCUCCGGCCGGGGACGAGCCCGCGACGGAUUAGCUUGUUGGUGGGGUAACGGCCUACCAAGGCUCCGAUCCGUAGCUGGUCUGAGAGGACGAUCAGCCACACUGGGACUGAGACACGGCCCAGACUCCUACGGGAGGCAGCAGUGGGGAAUCUUGCGCAAUGGGCGAAAGCCUGACGCAGCGACGCCGCGUGAGGGAAGAAGGCCUUCGGGUUGUAAACCUCUUUCAGGAGGGACGAAGCCACUCGGGUUAAUAGCCCAGAGGGUGACGUACCUCCAGAAGAGCCCCCCCG
rnacentral:rRNA from 1 species